AGCGUACACGGUGGAUGCCCUGGCAGUCAGAGGCGAUGAAGGACGUGCUAAUCUGCGAUAAGCGUCGGUAAGGUGAUAUGAACCGUUAUAACCGGCGAUUUCCGAAUGGGGAAACCCAGUGUGUUUCGACACACUAUCAUUAACUGAAUCCAUAGGUUAAUGAGGCGAACCGGGGGAACUGAAACAUCUAAGUACCCCGAGGAAAAGAAAUCAACCGAGAUUCCCCCAGUAGCGGCGAGCGAACGGGGAGCAGCCCAGAGCCUGAAUCAGUGUGUGUGUUAGUGGAAGCGUCUGGAAAGGCGCGCGAUACAGGGUGACAGCCCCGUACACAAAAAUGCACAUGCUGUGAGCUCGAUGAGUAGGGCGGGACACGUGGUAUCCUGUCUGAAUAUGGGGGGACCAUCCUCCAAGGCUAAAUACUCCUGACUGACCGAUAGUGAACCAGUACCGUGAGGGAAAGGCGAAAAGAACCCCGGCGAGGGGAGUGAAAAAGAACCUGAAACCGUGUACGUACAAGCAGUGGGAGCACGCUUAGGCGUGUGACUGCGUACCUUUUGUAUAAUGGGUCAGCGACUUAUAUUCUGUAGCAAGGUUAACCGAAUAGGGGAGCCGAAGGGAAACCGAGUCUUAACUGGGCGUUAAGUUGCAGGGUAUAGACCCGAAACCCGGUGAUCUAGCCAUGGGCAGGUUGAAGGUUGGGUAACACUAACUGGAGGACCGAACCGACUAAUGUUGAAAAAUUAGCGGAUGACUUGUGGCUGGGGGUGAAAGGCCAAUCAAACCGGGAGAUAGCUGGUUCUCCCCGAAAGCUAUUUAGGUAGCGCCUCGUGAAUUCAUCUCCGGGGGUAGAGCACUGUUUCGGCAAGGGGGUCAUCCCGACUUACCAACCCGAUGCAAACUGCGAAUACCGGAGAAUGUUAUCACGGGAGACACACGGCGGGUGCUAACGUCCGUCGUGAAGAGGGAAACAACCCAGACCGCCAGCUAAGGUCCCAAAGUCAUGGUUAAGUGGGAAACGAUGUGGGAAGGCCCAGACAGCCAGGAUGUUGGCUUAGAAGCAGCCAUCAUUUAAAGAAAGCGUAAUAGCUCACUGGUCGAGUCGGCCUGCGCGGAAGAUGUAACGGGGCUAAACCAUGCACCGAAGCUGCGGCAGCGACGCUUAUGCGUUGUUGGGUAGGGGAGCGUUCUGUAAGCCUGUGAAGGUGUGCUGUGAGGCAUGCUGGAGGUAUCAGAAGUGCGAAUGCUGACAUAAGUAACGAUAAAGCGGGUGAAAAGCCCGCUCGCCGGAAGACCAAGGGUUCCUGUCCAACGUUAAUCGGGGCAGGGUGAGUCGACCCCUAAGGCGAGGCCGAAAGGCGUAGUCGAUGGGAAACAGGUUAAUAUUCCUGUACUUGGUGUUACUGCGAAGGGGGGACGGAGAAGGCUAUGUUGGCCGGGCGACGGUUGUCCCGGUUUAAGCGUGUAGGCUGGUUUUCCAGGUAAAUCCGGAAAAUCAAGGCUGAGGCGUGAUGACGAGGCACUACGGUGCUGAAGCAACAAAUGCCCUGCUUCCAGGAAAAGCCUCUAAGCAUCAGGUAACAUCAAAUCGUACCCCAAACCGACACAGGUGGUCAGGUAGAGAAUACCAAGGCGCUUGAGAGAACUCGGGUGAAGGAACUAGGCAAAAUGGUGCCGUAACUUCGGGAGAAGGCACGCUGAUAUGUAGGUGAAGUCCCUCGCGGAUGGAGCUGAAAUCAGUCGAAGAUACCAGCUGGCUGCAACUGUUUAUUAAAAACACAGCACUGUGCAAACACGAAAGUGGACGUAUACGGUGUGACGCCUGCCCGGUGCCGGAAGGUUAAUUGAUGGGGUUAGCCGCAAGGCGAAGCUCUUGAUCGAAGCCCCGGUAAACGGCGGCCGUAACUAUAACGGUCCUAAGGUAGCGAAAUUCCUUGUCGGGUAAGUUCCGACCUGCACGAAUGGCGUAAUGAUGGCCAGGCUGUCUCCACCCGAGACUCAGUGAAAUUGAACUCGCUGUGAAGAUGCAGUGUACCCGCGGCAAGACGGAAAGACCCCGUGAACCUUUACUAUAGCUUGACACUGAACAUUGAGCCUUGAUGUGUAGGAUAGGUGGGAGGCUUUGAAGUGUGGACGCCAGUCUGCAUGGAGCCGACCUUGAAAUACCACCCUUUAAUGUUUGAUGUUCUAACGUUGACCCGUGAUCCGGGUUGCGGACAGUGUCUGGUGGGUAGUUUGACUGGGGCGGUCUCCUCCUAAAGAGUAACGGAGGAGCACGAAGGUUGGCUAAUCCUGGUCGGACAUCAGGAGGUUAGUGCAAUGGCAUAAGCCAGCUUGACUGCGAGCGUGACGGCGCGAGCAGGUGCGAAAGCAGGUCAUAGUGAUCCGGUGGUUCUGAAUGGAAGGGCCAUCGCUCAACGGAUAAAAGGUACUCCGGGGAUAACAGGCUGAUACCGCCCAAGAGUUCAUAUCGACGGCGGUGUUUGGCACCUCGAUGUCGGCUCAUCACAUCCUGGGGCUGAAGUAGGUCCCAAGGGUAUGGCUGUUCGCCAUUUAAAGUGGUACGCGAGCUGGGUUUAGAACGUCGUGAGACAGUUCGGUCCCUAUCUGCCGUGGGCGCUGGAGAAUUGAGGGGGGCUGCUCCUAGUACGAGAGGACCGGAGUGGACGCAUCACUGGUGUUCGGGUUGUCAUGCCAAUGGCACUGCCCGGUAGCUAAAUGCGGAAGAGAUAAGUGCUGAAAGCAUCUAAGCACGAAACUUGCCCCGAGAUGAGUUCUCCCUGACUCCUUGA
rnacentral:rRNA from 1 species